GGACUCGUAGCUCAGUUGGCUAGAGCGUCGCAUUGACAUUGCGAAGGCCACAGGUUCAAGUCCUGUCGAGUCCACCA
rnacentral:tRNA from 1 species